rnacentral:rRNA from 1 species
GACGACCGCUGGCGGCGUGCCUAAUACAUGCAAGUUGAGCGCUGAAGGUUGGUACUUGUACCGACUGGCUGAGCAGCGAACGGGUGAGUAACGCGUGGGGAAUCUGCCUUUGAGCGGGGGACAACAUUUGGAAACGAAUGCUAAUACCGCAUAAAAACUUUAAACACAAGUUUUAAGUUUGAAAGAUGCAAUUGCAUCACUCAAAGAUGAUCCCGCGUUGUAUUAGCUAGUUGGUGAGGUAAAGGCUCACCAAGGCGAUGAUACAUAGCCGACCUGUGAGGGUGAUCGGCCACAUUGGGACUGAGACACGGCCCAAACUCCUACGGGAGGCAGCAGUAGGGGAACUUCGGCAAGAGGCGAAAGUCUGACCGAGCAACGCCGCGUGAGUGAAGAAGGUUUUCGGAUCGUAAAACUCUGUUGGUAGGGAAGAACGUUGGUGAGAGUGGAAAGCUCAUCAAGUGACGGUAACUACACAGAAAGGGACGGCUAACUACGUG